rnacentral:piRNA from 1 species
UUCAUGCCAUUGAAAAUUACU